UGUCUGCUCAUUGUUGUAGCUUCAUGUUGCCCUGUCAUGUGUUGCUUGGUCUCGUCUCGUGCUCUGUCUGUCUGGGAUACCCGUUGGAUUACCUAUUUCAUUUGGAUUCUUUUAUUUGGAUUUCUUGGGACUCAGCCGCUCUUAGAUAAAUAUCAGAAGAGUCAAGUGACCAGCUGGACAAGAUGGUAGGCUUUUUGGUCCUGGUCUGGCCUCGCUCUUGGCGAGCAUUGGAGCGGUGAAAGCAGAUAUUUCGGCUCUGAAGAGCACUGUCAAAGAAAACUUGUGGGCAGACGCUAAACACGAGAAGGCGCUGCAUGCACUUGAACUUAAACUGGCGGAUAUGGAGGACAGGAAUAGACGCUGCAAUGUUCGCAUCAUCGGCUUGAAAGAGGGGGUCGAGGGGUCAAACGGUGUGCAAUAUCUAAAUCGGACACUACCGGAGUGGUUCUCGUCUCUCCAGAAUGGGCAGCCAGAGAUAAUGAGGGGCCCAUGACGAACGCGCUGCCCGAGACAGGCCCCGCACUCUCAUAUUCAACGUCCUUCGCUAUACCACACGGCAGGCUAUUCUCUGAGCUGCGAAGAAGGACCUGGUCACUGUGGACGGCAAGAGAGUGAGAUAUGCCGCUGAUUACAGUAAUCACACAGUCCCAGGCCAUGGACACUGCACGAGAAAGAGGAGUUGAAUUUUUUCUCCUCUACCUGGCGACCCUGACAAUCAAAGACGAGGCGGAUUAUCGUGUUUUCAAAAAUCCAGCGAAGCAGAGGAUUUCCUCAACUCCCUGCUGAUGACGACGCAGGAGAGAUCUCCUCGGGCGCUGGCCAGCGAGGCGGCCAACACCACUCAGGCGGCUGUUGGGGACCCAUAACAGUCCCUAAUCACAGUUACACUAUACUUUGUGCUGUAUAUCCCAGACAUGUUAAAUAGUCUGGUACACUCUUAUACCAUUCUCAGUCCCUCACCUCACGGUUUAUGCACCUAGUUUUAAGUAUUGCAGCAAUGACUUUCCUGGAAUUUUUUUUGUUGUAAUUUAAUCCGGGGAGGGGUGAGGCUUGUGGCUACUGUCCUAUUCCCCCCCCCUAUUUCCAACUAUGGCCACGGAGACAAGUAAUAGUGGAGGGUUGGCAUGUUUUUGCUCUCUUGGCGGGCUGGGCCGGGUGGGGGGUGGGUUAAAAUGUCAUGUGUUGUGUCUCUUCUUUUUAUUUGUUGUAAUAUGGAGCGGCUCACAUUGUGGAUCUUGUGUUUACUUUCCUUUUGUAUGGAGGGGGAGGGGCUUGACUGGAUCAAUAUAUAUACCUGUACUAUA